UACAGAGGGGGCAAGCGUUGUUCGGAAUUACUGGGCGUAAAGCGCGCGUAGGCGGCUUUGCAAGUCGGGUGUGAAAUCCCCAGGCUUAACCUGGGAACUGCAUUCGAGACUGCAUUGCUAGAGUAUGGGAGAGGGAAGUGGAAUUUCCGGUGUAGCGGUGAAAUGCGUAGAUAUCGGAAGGAACAUCAGUGGCGAAAGCGACUUCCUGGACCAAUACUGACGCUCAUGUGCGAAAGCGUGGGGAGCAAACAGGG
rnacentral:rRNA from 1 species